GGAGGAGUAAUCAAGCCUGGCCAAAGAUGCAGGACUUAAGAUCCUGUCUCUUAGGAGUUCGCGGGUUCAAAUCCCGCCUCCUCCA
rnacentral:tRNA from 2 species